CGCGGGGUGGAGCAGCCUGGUAGCUCGCAAGGCUCAUAACCUUGAGGUCAGGGGUUCGAAUCCCUUCCCCGCAACCA
rnacentral:tRNA from 1 species